CCUACGGGAGGCAGCAGUGAGGGAUAUUGGUCAAUGGGGGAAACCCUGAACCAGCAACGCCGCGUGCGGGAAGACGGUUUUAGGGUUGUAAAACUCUGUCCUCUGUGGAGAUGAUGCCGGUAGCAGAGGAGGCCGCUACGGAUGACUACGUGCCAGCAGCCGCGGUCCUACGUAGGGAGCGAGCGUUGUCCGGAUUUACUGGGUGUAAAGGGUGCGUAGGCGGCUUGGCAAGUCAGUCGGGAAAUCCAUGGGGUGAACCCAUGAACUGCAAUUGAAAAUGUCGCGCUUGAGUGAAGUAGAGGUAGGCGGAAUUCGCGGUGUAGCGGUGAAAUGCGUAGAGAUCGGGAGGAACACCAGUGGCGAAGGCGGCCUACUGGGCUUUAACUGACGCUGAGGCACGAAAGCGUGGGUAGCAAACAGGAUUAGAUACCCUUGUAGUC
rnacentral:rRNA from 1 species